GUCUUCCUUCUUCAGGUUUCUACCACUUGCUGUCUGUCUUCUGGGUUUUCUUGCAGUUUCUUUUUCCCCCCAGAGUUUCUUUUUCCCCUCAGAGUUCAGUCCUCCCCCCCGCCCUUCAGUUUCGCAGUCACUGCUAACGGUUGCUGUGUUUUAGGACCCAGUGGAUGAUGAAAUUCACCUGAGACCACAUAGCCAGAGAAGGCCAAACUGAGUUUUGAAUCUAGGCAAUCUUGACCCCAGAGUCUUCCGGCCUAAAGGAUUACUUCGUGGUCUUGCUUCUAAGACUGUUUGUGGGCUUUCAUCAUUUUCAUAGCGCAAACAACGAUUUAUUCUGAGGUGAUGAGAGGUUUAUGCCCAGAAGCUCAACACCACUACUCCGUGUAAAGAAGAUAUUGCUUGGUCAGAUCCAGUAAAAUACCAAAGGGCAUCCAUUAGAAUCUUGUGCAUAAGUUUGCCCACCACUCACUACCCGUGCUCCCUACCAGGUUCUGGUUUCUGGGACCCCAGUGGUCAUUUUCACUUUCUUUGUACUAUUCGUCUAUUUUAAACUAUUACAACAUCAGUAAAAUACCUGGCCAAAUACUAUUUGAU